UACAGAGGUCCCAAGCGUUGUUCGGAUUCACUGGGCGUAGAGGGUGCGUAGGCGGUCGGGUAAGUCUGAUGUGAAAUCUCACAGCUUAACUGUGAAACUGCAUUGGAUACUAUUCGGCUUGAGAGUUGGAGGGGGGACUGGAAUUCUUGGUGUAGCAGUGAAAUGCGUAGAUAUCAAGAGGAACACCAGUGGCGAAGGCGAGUCCCUGGACAACUUCUGACGCUGAGGCACGAAAGCUAGGGGAGCAAACAGG
rnacentral:rRNA from 1 species